UGUCGUGAGAUGUAGGGUUAACGUCCCGCAACGAGCGCUAACCCUUGUCUUUAAUUGCCAUCAUUUGGAGUUGGGCACGUUUAAAGAGACUGCCGGUGUUAAACCGGAGGAAGGUGGGGAUGACGUCAAGUCCUCAUGGCCUUUAUGCCCAGGGCUACACACGUGCUACAAUGGUCGGUACAAAGGGUUGCGAUACCGCGAGGUGGAGCCAAUCCCAUAAAGCCGAUCUCAGUUCGGAUUGGGGUCUGCAACUCGACCCCAUGAAGUCGGAGUCGCUAGUAAUCGCAGAUCAGCAACGCUGCGGUGAAUACGUUCCCGGGCCUU
rnacentral:rRNA from 1 species